rnacentral:rRNA from 1 species
UACGUAGGGUGCGAGCGUUUGUCCGGAAUUACUGGGCGUAAAGAGCUCGUAGGUGGUUUGUCGCGUUGUCCGUGAAAACUCACAACUCAAUUGUGGGCGUGCGGGCGAUACGGGCAGACUGGAGUACUGCAGGGGAGACUGGAAUUCCUGGUGUAGCGGUGGAAUGCGCAGAUAUCAGGAAGAACACCCGUGGCGAAGGCGGCUCUCUGGGACGGUACUGACGCUGAGACGCGAAAGCGUGGGGAGCGAACAGG